AUAUCGAAGGAUAGCUCACGCACCUUGUUCCUCCAAUCUUUGUCCAUUGGAUCCAUUUGGUCGUCGUCCUUGUCUGCGAGCUUCUGCAGCACGGCAUCCAUGGUGCUCAGCUCAUCCUUCAGGAAGCGGAUCCCUUGCUCCACGUCUCUGGCGAACUGGUACUUGUCGCCGAGCAUGGCAGUCAGCUUGCCGAUGACGGACCCCAUCACGCUCGUGGCGGCGCUCGCCAUCAGUUCGGCCAUCUCACUCUACCGCUCUGCUAGCUUGUGGUGGUGUCAGAGAGGAAGGGCGCUUCAAUUCUGAGGGCCUCACAGUCGCAGAUGCGAACGACCCGAGAAAGUGCUUUGUAAAGCACGGCCUCACCUCCCACGAUGCUCUUUGUCUCAUGAGCACUUUCCCCCAUGAGCACUUUCCCUUUCCUAUUCUCUUCG
rnacentral:lncRNA from 1 species